GUCUACGGCCACACCACCCUGAACACGCCCAAUCUCGUCUGAUCUCGGAAGCUAAGCAGGGUCGGGCCUGGUUAGUACUUGGAUGGGAGACCGCCUGACAGUGAAUACCAUUUUUAGACU
rnacentral:rRNA from 1 species